rnacentral:misc_RNA from 1 species
AACCUUAUGGACCUGCGGGCGUAUACCUGCGGAAGGAUCAUUAACAAAUCCUGAACCGAUUCUUUGCGCCGGCUUCGGCAGGCCAGAGUCUUAAACCUUCUGUGAAAACGAGAUACCAUUUUGCUUCGGCAGCGGGUGCCGGGCGAGAGUCCGAAACCGUCAGCCUGCCGGCAGCGCCAACCAAACUAGUUUUUUUUCUGUACCGUCUGAAAAACAUUUUUGAAUGAAAUCAAAACUUUC